rnacentral:rRNA from 1 species
CCUACGGGUGGCAGCAGUGGGGAAUAUUGCACAAUGGGGGAAACCCUGAUGCAGCGACGCCGCGUGAGUGAAGAAGUAUCUCGGUACGUAAAGCUCUAUCAGCAGGGAAGAAAAUGACGGUACCUGACUAAGAAGCCCCGGCUAACUACGUGCCAGCAGCCGCGGUAAUACGGAGGGGGCAAGCGUUAUCCGGAUUUACUGGGUGUAAAGGGAGCGUAGACGGGAGGACAAGUCUGGAGUGAAAUCCCGGGGCUUAACCCCGGAACUGCAUUGGAAACUGGGCGGCUGGAGUGCAGGAGAGGUAAGCGGAAUUCCUGGUGUAGCGGUGAAAUGCGUAGAUAUUAGGAGGAACACCGAUGGCGAAGGCGGCUUACUAGACUGUAACUGACGUUGAGGCUCGAAAGCGUGGGGAGCAAACAGGAUUAGAUACCCCGGUAGUC